rnacentral:rRNA from 1 species
UACGUAGGGGGCUAGCGUUGUCCGGAUUUAUUGGGCGUAAAGAGCGUGUAGGCGGCCCGGUAAGUCCGCUGUAAAAGUCAAAGGCUCAACCUUUGAAUGUCAGUGGAUACUGCCGGGCUAGAGUCCGGAAGAGGCGAGUGGAACUCCUGGUGUAGCGGUGGAAUGCGCAGAUAUCAGGAAGAACACCAACGGCGAAGGCAGCUCGCUGGGACGGUACUGACGCUGAGACGCGAAAAGCGUGGGGGAGCGAACAGG